rnacentral:lncRNA from 1 species
UGUAUCGACAAGCAGAAUGAUCUCAGCCAAGUUGUAAAACUGUCUUUGAAAAGAAUAGCUGGAUGAAAAACAUUAGCAGCAACUGAAUCAAGAGAAAACGUGACUUCAAACUGAAAGGCACUCUCAUGGUAAAUACAUAGUAAAACCAUGUUCUGCAACUUCAUAUUUUCGUAAUGCUUUAAGCUACCCAAGGAGCCCAUGCAGAUAUGCAAAGCUACUCAUUGAGAAGCUCAGCUUAUCCCUACAUAUGCCAUCACCAGUUUUUCACUUAACGUUUUCUCCUCAACCCCUUUCUAUUUGGCUUCCAUUCUACUACUCACCAACCACCUUCAGUUUGCAAAAUCCUAUGCAGAUCUUACCUUAACUUUUCAGCAUCAUUCAGUAAGGUUAAAAACUUUUCCUUCUAGAUGGUUUUGGUGGCACCAGAGUCUUCUUGUUUUCUUCUUUCUUUUUUAGCUGCACUUUCUCAGUAGUAUUUGCUGGCUCUCCUUCCUUUACUCCAACUCUUACUGUUGUAGUUUCACUGAUCUUGGAUUGAGUUCCUCCCUUUGUUUUCCUAUUUAUACUCUCUGACUAAGGUUCAAAAUUGUCUUUAUCUGUUGUAAAAUCUGUGUUUCAAGACUAGAACUUCUCCUCUAAAUCCCAUCUAUCUGAUGACUGAUAGAUUUCAGACUGAACAUGCUUAGAAUAAAAUGCUUAGCCAUGGCUGUUCCCUGCUCCCUGGCCACAGUUGCCAUACACCUUCAUCCUUCCUCAGUUUUCUCAUGGUAAAUGUUACCAUCAUCCACUCAGUUAAUAAUACCUGAAACCAGGGAAAUGGUCCUGAAAUUAGUCCUUUUUUAAAUAUCACCUUCACAUGUAGCCAAUCAGCAAUUCCUACAAUUUAUAUUCCAGAAUAUAUGUCAAGUCCAUCUACUUUUUCCACCUCCACCGCUGUCACCUAGCUCAAGCCACCAUCAUCCUUCACCUAUUCUAUUGCAGUAGCCUCCUAGAAGGUCUCCUAGCUUCCUUUAUUAGCCCUGUACAAGCCAUUCUCUGCAUGGCAGCAGAAUAAUCUUUUAAAAACUGAAAUCAUACCAAUUACUCCUUACCCAAAAGUAUUGAAGGGUUCCUGUUGCAUGUUGAACAAAAUCUACACUCCUUAUCAUGGCCUAUGGAGUGCUUCAUGUUCCCAACCUUGGCAAUGUUUUUUAACAUGCUACCAGUUCUUUCUGUUUCUUACUAAGUCCAGCUCACAUUGACCUAACACACUAACCUCUUUCCUGUCUCAGGCCCUUUGCCCUUGCUGUUACCUCUCUUAGAACAUCCUUUGUUGCUUUGCAUAGCCCAUUCCUCCUCAUUCUUCAUUUCUCAGCUUAAAUGCCACUUCAUCAGAGACGCCUUUUUCAAAAACUUUACCUAAGUUUUUAUUUGUUUUUCUUUUUUCCUGAGCUGAUAGGAAGACAACUCUGUUAUCUUUAGGAUUUCAGAUGCUUUUAGAAUCAAACCUGGAAAGGAUACAAAAAGCAGAAGCAAAACCAACAUUUGGGAGAAGAACAGAUUAAGACAGUAGCUUAUAUUGAAACAUCACUUCUCAUUUGCUGUUUGGACAAUGGUGAUGGAACUGCUGCUUUAUUGCCCACGGAGAAGCGAAGUGAAGAGUCUAAAGUGGGUCUUGCAGUUACACUGGACAAAAGAAGUUUGAAACUGAGGCUUGGUCCUGAAGAAAACAUAGAGAAGCCUGACAGAUUAUAUAUAUUCACAGCUUUGACUUAAAGGUUGCUGGUUGACCAAUAAGUAAUACAAGAAGAAAUGGUCUUUUCUGGAAUUGUCCUUCUUUCCAGGUAUCAAUGGUGAGCAGAAGAGGAGCAGGGAAUGAUGAAAGACCACACAUUCUCCAAAAGUCACUAAGCACUGUCUGCAGAUGGAACAUUCAUAUUUUCACAUAGUAUAAGUCAUAUGAUCUUUGAUCCUCCAUGUAUUGCUAUCCAGCCAUUUACUUUAGAAUGUCAGCCUUUAUACUGAUAUCACACACAUGUUGUAAAAUGUAGUGAAGAUAAACGGGUGAAGUUAAACUUACAAUGCUUUUGCUGUUAUCCAUAAAAAUGCAAUAGGUAUUGCAUAGAAUUAGUUACAAGCACAAAACUGUGAUACCCUAUAUGCCCCUGUUACAAGAAAGUUGUCAUUUUACAUUAUGGGUAUUUAUUCGAUAUUUUCAUAGUUUAAUUACUAACAAAGCAUUAAUAAUGCCAGAUUGUGCUGACAAACAUUGCAGUCUCUGAAUAGGAGAAAGAAUAUAUUCUUUGCACCAUUAUACAAUGAUUUAGAACUUUAAUAGUGUGCUGGGGAAAAAACAUGUAUCUGUAACCUGAAAUAGUUGUUUUACCUCCCUGAGUACAAAAUAUGUCACACAUUCUCUCCUAAAUGUAUUCUCUAUUUUUACCAGUCAUUUUGUUGCUAAAAUGUAAGAUAUGGGGAUGGGAUGUGGGUGAUUGUCUCCGUCCUUUUGGGCUUCUAUAACUAAAAUACCUUAGACUGGGUAAUUUAUAAACAACAGGAAUUUAUUUCUCACAGUUCUGGGGGCUGGAAAGUCCAAGAUCAAGGCUGUGGUGGGGUUUGGCUGGCGAGGGCUCCAUCCUUCUUGCUAUAUCUUCACAUGGUGGAAGGAGCAAACAAACUCCCCCAGCCCUCUUUUACAAGGGCACUAAUAUUAUUUGUGAGGGCUCCACUCUCAUGACUUAAUCACCUCCCCAAAGACCCUACUUCUUAAUACUAACACAUUGGGGAUUAAUCUUCAACAUAUGAAUUUUGGAGGAACACAAACAUUCAGACCAUAGCAAUGUUUAUUGGGGUGAAUGCUCAUUUAACUUUUCCCAGAACAAUCCCUGUUAAGUCUGCUAACCUCCUGUAGUUAAUGAUAAAAUUUCCUUCAUUUUCCGAAGUGUUCUUGUUUGGAUUAUAAAUUAUGUAAUUACCCUAAUGACAAUUAACUAGACAUUUUUUUUCUUACUGUAUAGCACCAGUAUGGGCAAUUGCAGUGGCUUUCAAACUUGACUACAACUCAGGGAGAAAUACAUUUUUCAUCAUAACGUAGUACACACACACACACACACACACACACACACACACGCACACACACACACACAUACACUAGAUAAAGCAAAAGCUUUAGGAAAUGGUACUUGGAUAUUUUCAAAUAUAUUUUAGUCUGUUUUUUAAUUAAAAAUCUCUAGUCAUGAUACAUUAAAUUGACUUAUUGACCCACAGCUUGAAAAAACACCAAUAUUUUGGAUGUGUUUUAAGGUCAUAGAACACGCCUUCUGAUUUUUUUCCUUCCCUAGGUAAUCCUAUGCAAGUUGCCAAUCUUCUCUAAACAACACUCUUCUUCAUCUAUAAAGUAAAUAUUAAUACCUACCUGAAGGUGGCAGAGAGAGUUAACUGAGAUAAUUUGGUUAAUGAGCCUGAAAUCUAGUCAACACUUACUAAAGGUAAUUUCUUCUCCUCUCUUCCGCUUCUAAACCAACAGGACACAGCUGAAGUUCACAGGUUUGUAAAAGUGAAAAAAUAUUUUUCUUAACCCCCUGACCUCUAAAGUUUGGUCAGAGUGUUUAGCCACUGAUAAAACAUCUUUAAGCACUGUUACUUCUAUGUUCAACUAAAAGAGUCACUUUUCAGUAAUUUCCGGUCAAGCCCAUCACAAUAGCACUUGCAGCUUCUCAAAAGAAAAGAAAGAAAGAGAGAGAAAGAAAGGAAGAAAGAGAAUUGAAGGAGGAAAGAAGGAAAAAAAUCAUGAUGAAGAUUUUAAAACAUGUCUUAUUGAGGGAUGGGAUGGUGAGGAAGUUGAUUAUAGUGAUGGAUGUGACAGACAGGGCCCGUACUUCUGUUUCUGUUCUCAAACUAACAGUUUUCACACAUAACCGUUUUCACACAUAACACAUUAGUAGAAUUUCUUUUGAAUAUUUGCCUUGGAAAUAAAACAAUAAUAAUAUA